rnacentral:rRNA from 1 species
UACAGGGCAUCCAUGUCUUGUAAUUGGAAUGAGUAGAAUUUAAAUCCCUUUACGAGUAUCAAUUGGAGGGCAAGUCUGGUGCCAGCAGCCGCGGUAAUUCCAGCUCCAAUAGCGUAUAUUAAAGUUGUUGCGGUUAAAAAGCUCGUAGUUGGAGUUCUGCCAGGUGACGCUCGUCCGCCCAAGUGGUGUGUACAGGGCGUGCGUCUGGCCCUUUCAAGGGGAACGUGUCUGCUCUUUACUGAGUGGUGCGAGAUCCUUGACUUUUACUUUGAGGAAAUAAGAGUGUUCCAAGCAGGCUCUCGUCGUGCAUAGCUCAGCAUGGAAUAAUAGCAUUGGACUUCGUUUCUAAGCUGUUGGUUGCAAGAAGCGAGGUAAUGAUGAAGAGGGAUAGUUGGGGGCAUUCGUAUUUAACUGUCAGAGGUGAAAUUCAUGGAUUUGUUAAAGACGGACUACUGCGAAAGCAUCUGCCAUGGAUGUUUUCAUUGAUCAAGAACGAAAGUUAGGGGAUCG